UACGGAGGAGGCAAGCGUUAUCCGGAAUUAUUGGGCGUAAAGCGUCCGCAGGUGGCGAUUCAAGUCUGCGGUCAAAGACUGGGGCUUAACCCUGGAAAGGCCGUGGAAACUGAAUAGCUAGAGUGCAGUAGGGGUAGAGGGAAUUCCCGGUGUAGCGGUGAAAUGCGUAGAGAUCGGGAAGAACAUCGGUGGCGAAAGCGCUCUGCUGGACUGCAACUGACACUCAGGGACGAAAGCUAGGGGAGCGAAUGGG
rnacentral:rRNA from 1 species